GUCCGCAGGCGGAAUUAUAAGUCAGUGGUGAAAUCUCGAUGCUCAACAUCGAAACUGCCAUUGAUACUGUAGUUCUUGAAUAUAGUCGGAGUAGGCGGAAUGUGUAGUGUAGCGGUGAAAUGCUUAGAUAUUACACAGAACACCGAUAGCGAAGGGAGCUUACUAGGUUAUAAUUGACGCUCAUGGACGAAAGCGUGGGUAGGGAACAGGAUUAGAUACCCUGGUAGUCCACGCCGUAAACGAUGAUUACUCGUUAUUGGCGAUAUACAGUCAGUGACUAAGCGAAAGUGAUAAGUAAUCCACCUGGGGAGUACGAUCGCAAGGUUGAAACUCAAAGGAAUUGACGGGGGCCCGCACAAGCGGUGGAGCAUGUGGUUUAAUUCGAUGAUACGCGAGGAACCUUACCAGGGCUUAAAUGUAGUUUGACGGGGAGUGGAAACACUUUUUUCUUCGGACAGAUUACAAGGUGCUGCAUGGCUGUCGUCAGGCUCGUGCCGUGAGGUGUUGGGUUAAGUCCCCGCAACGAGCGCAACCCCUAUCUUUAGUUGCUAACAGGUUAAGGCUGAGGACUCUAGAGAAACUGCCAGCGCAAGCUGAGAGGAAGGCGGGGACGACGUCAGUCAUCACGGGCCCUUACGUCCUGGGCCACACACGUGCUACAAUGGUGCAUACAGAGGGCAGCUACCUGGUGACAGGAUGCGAAUCUCGAAAGUGCAUCUCAGUUCGGAUUGGAGUCUGCAACUCGACUCUAUGAAGCUGGGAUUCGCUAGUAAUCGCG
rnacentral:rRNA from 1 species